GUGCGCUGAACUUUGGGCCCCGCGGGAGCAGCACGGUCACCAUUCCACGGGAACGGCUGGCGGCUGGCGUGGAGUACACCUUCAGCCUCACCGUGUGGAAGGCCGGCCGCAAGGAGGAGGCCACCAACCAGACGGUGGGUGCCGCCCGCCCCUCGGCCACUUGCCUUGGACAGCCCAGCCUCCCUGCUCAUCUACUGUUUUCCGUGUUUUAGUGCUGGUGGAGGCCGCGCGCUCUUCCCUCUCUGUUUCUGAUGCAAAUUCUACGUAACACGACAGCCUGCUUCAGCUUUGCUUCCUUCCAAACCUGCCACAGUUCCACAUACAGUCUUCAAGCCACAUAUGCUCUAGUGACAAAAGCUACACAGUCCCCCAGCAAUACCAACAGUGAGGAAGAGCCCCUUCCCACCCCAGAGGCAGCCACUGUCCCCAGCCCAUGUCCCUGUUGCUGGAUGUGGUGGGCCGGUUCUCACCCUCACGCUCCCCACUCUGGACCGGCCAGGAGGCUUGGUGACCCUGAGCCCGUGGUGGCUGCUCCUGCUGCUGUCAGGCGGGGCCUGCUGGUGCCCCAGAGUGGGUGUCUGUUCCCCAGUCCCUGCUUCCCUCAACGGGCCUGAUUGGGGGUCUGCCCAGAGGGGUCGUCUGAGGGGAGGGUGUGGGAGCAGGUUCCAUCCCGGCUCAGCCUCCUGACCCAGGCCCUGGCUAAGGGCUGCAGGAGUCUGUGAGUCAGGCCUACGUGGCAACUGCGGUCCUCACACCCACACAUACGUCUGUUCCCACACGCAUCCCCCCAGGGGCCCUCAGUGAGCAUUGCCUGCCUCCUGCCAGGGUCCAGCUGGGUCCAGUACACCAGAACGCACACCCCAGUGUCCUCUGCCCUGUGUAUGCCCUUCCGCCGCCCAGGUUGGAAGGUGGCAAACCGGAUGAGUAUCCUGGGAGGGGGUGAGCUCACCGGCAGUGGCCAGGCCCCUGGGAAACCUGGAGUUUGGGAGCAGCAUCCUCCACGGGUCCCCCAGACCUUCCAGCAGGCCAAAUAGACCUGUGUUGGAGGUAACCCCACUCCCACGCCAGGUGCUGAUCCGCAGUGGCCGGGUGCCCAUUGUGUCCUUGGAGUGUGUGUCCUGCAAGGCACAGGCCGUGUACGAAGUGAGCCGCAGCUCCUACGUGUACCUGGAGGGCCGCUGCCUCAAUUGCAGCAGCGGCUCCAAGCGAGGGCGGUGGGCUGCACGUACGUUCAGCAACAAGACACUGGUGCUGGAUGAGACCACCACAUCCACGGGCAGCGCAGGCAUGUGACUGGUGCUGCGGCGGGGCGUGCUGCGGGACGGCGAGGGAUACACCUUCACGCUGACGGUGCUGGGCCGCUCUGGCGAGGAGGAGGGCUGCGCCUCCAUCCCCCUGUCCCCCAACCGCCCGCCGCUGGGGGGCUCUUGCCGCCUCUUCCCACUGGGCGCUGUGCACGCCCUCACCACCAAGGUGCACUUCGAAUGCACGGGCUGGCAUGACGCGGAGGAUGCUGGCGCCCCGCUGGUGUACGCCCUGCUGCUGCAGCGCUGUCGCCAGGGCCACUGCGAGGAGUUCUGUGUCUACAAGGGCAGCCUCUCCGGCUACGGAGCCGUGCUGCCCCCGGGUUUCAGGCCACACUUCGAGGUGGGCCUGGCCGUGGUGGUGCAGGACCAGCUGGGAGCCGCUGUGGUCGCCCUCAACAGGUCUCUGGCCAUCACCCUCCCAGAGCCCAACGGCAGCGCAAUGGGGCUCACAGUCUGGCUGCACGGGCUCACCGCUAGUGUGCUCCCGGGGCUGCUGCGGCAGGCCGAUCCCCAGCACGUCAUCGAGUACUCGCUGGCCCUGGUCACCGUCCUGAACGAGCCACACCCACCGGGCCCUCUCCGGCGUCUGCUUUCCACAAUGCAGCCCCCGCCCAGGAGGGCCCAUGUGCUUACCCUGUUUUGCCCAUGAAGAAACAGCUCAGUGUUGCGGGUCAAUGCCCACAUCACACAGCAUCUAGCACGUAACUGCACCCCGGGAGUCGUGGGCAUCUGCUGGCCUCCUGCCGGUCUCCUGCCCUGCUGACAGCUUGCUGUGCCGCCUGCCUGCCCCAGUACGAGCGGGCCCUGGACGUGGCGGCAGAGCCCAAGCACGAGCGGCAGCGCCGAGCCCAGAUACGCAAGAACAUCACGGAGACUCUGGUGUCCCUGAGGGUCCACACUGUGGAUGACAUCCAGCAGAUCGCUGCUGCGCUGGCCCAGUGCAUGGGGCCCAGCAGGGAGCUCGUAUGCCGCUCGUGCCUGAAGCAGACGCUGCACAAGCUGGAGGCCAUGAUGCGCAUCCUGCAGGCAGAGACCACCGCGGGCACCGUGACGCCCACCGCCAUCGGAGACAGCAUCCUCAACAUCACAGGAGACCUCAUCCACCUGGCCAGCUCAGACGUGCGGGCACCACAGCGCUCAGAGCUGGGAGCCGAGUCACCAUCGCGGAUGGUGGCGUCCCAGGCCUACAACCUGACCUCUGCCCUCAUGCGCAUCCUCACGCGCUCCCGCGUGCUCAACGAGGAGCCCCUGACACUGGCGGGCGAGGAGAUCGUGGCCCAGGGCAAGCGCUCGGACCCGCGGAGCCUGCUGUGCUAUGGCGGCGCCCCAGGGCCUGGCUGCCACUUCUCCAUCCCCUAGGCUUUCAGCAGGGCCCCGGCUAACCUCAGUGACGUGGUGCAGCUCAUCUUUCUGGUGGACUCCAAUCCCUUUCCCUUUGGCUAUAUCAGCAACUACACCGUCUCCACCAAGGUGGCCUCGAUGGCGUUCCAGACACAGGCCGGCGCCCAGAUCCCCAUCGAGCGGCUGGCCUCAGAGCGCGCCAUCACCGUGAAGGUGCCCAACAACUCGGACUGGGCUGCCCGGGGCCACCGCAGCUCUGCCAACUCCGUUGUGGUCCAGCCCCAGGCCUCCGUCGGUGCUGUGGUCACCCUGGACAGCAGCAACCCUGCGGCCGUGCUGCAUCUGCAGCUCAACUAUACGCUGCUGGACGGCCGCUACCUGUCUGAGGAACCCGAGCCCUACCUGGCAGUCUACCUGCACUCGGAGCCCCGGCCCAAUGAGCACAACUGCUCGGCUAGCAGGAGGAUCCGCCCAGAGUCCCUCCAGGGUGCCGACCACCGGCCCUACACCUUCUUCAUUUCCCCGGGGACCAGAGACCCAGUGGGGAGUUACCGUCUGAACCUCUCCAGCCACUUCCGCCUGUCGGCGCUGGAGGUGUCCGUGGGCCUGUACACGUCCCUGUGCCAGUACUUCAGCGAGGAGGACGUGGUGUGGCGGACAGAGGGGCUGCUGCCCCUGGAGGAGACCUCGCCCCGCCAGGCCGUCUGCCUCACCCGCCACCUCACCGCCUUCGGCGCCAGCCUCUUCGUGCCCCCAAGCCAUGUACGCUUUGUGUUUCCUGAGCCGACAGCGGAUGUAAACUACAUCGUCAUGCUGACAUGUGCUGUGUGCCUGGUGACCUACAUGGUCAUGGCCGCCAUCCUGCACAAGCUGGACCAGUUGGAUGCCAGCCGGGGCCGCGCCAUCCCCUUCUGUGGGCAGCGGGGCCGCUUCAAGUACGAGAUCCUCGUCAAGACAGGCUGGGGCCGGGGCUCAGGUACCACGGCCCACGUGGGCAUCAUGCUGUAUGGGGUGGACAGCCGGAGCGGCCACCGGCACCUGGAUGGCGACAGAGCCUUCCACCGCAACAGCCUGGACAUCUUCCGGAUCGCCACCCCGCACAGCCUGGGUAGCGUGUGGAAGAUCCGAGUGUGGCACGACAAAGGGCUCAGCCCUGCCUGGUUCCUGCAGCACGUCAUCGUCAGGGACCUGCAGACGGCACACAGCACCUUCUUCCUGGUCAAUGACUGGCUUUCGGUGGAGACGGAGGCCAACGGGGGCCUGGUGGAGAAGGAGGUGCUGGCCGCGAGUCACGCAGCCCUGUUGCGCUUCCGGCGCCUGCUGGUGGCUGAGCUGCAGUGCGGCUUCUUUGACAAGCACAUCUGGCUCUCCAUAUGGGACCGGCCGCCUCGUAGCUGUUUCACUCGCAUCCAGAGGGCCACCUGCUGCGUUCUCCUCAUCUGCCUCUUCCUGGGCGCCAACGCCGUGUGGUACGGGGCUGUUGGUGACUCUGCCUACAGCACGGGGCAUGUGUCCAGGCUGAGCCCGCUGAGCGUCGACACAGUCGCUGUUGGCCUGGUGUCCAGCGUGGUUGUCUAUCCCGUCUACCUGGCCAUCCUCUUUCUCUUCUGGAUGUCCCGGAGCAAGGUGGCUGGGAGCCCGAGCCCCACACCUGCCGGGCAGCAGGUGCUGGACAUCGACAGCUGCCUGGACUCGUCCGUGCUGGACAGCUCCUUCCUCACGUUCUCAGGCCUCCACGCUGAGGUUAUCAAUACUCUGGCUGACCAUCGUCAUCGUGGGACUGACUUUGGUGGAAGUCCUUGGUUACUUAUCAUUACUGUGUUUCUGAGAAGUUAUAAAUUUGCCAUCUCCCUCUGCACAACUUACCUUUGGGUUAUCAAUACUCUGGCUGACCAUCGUCAUCGUGGGACUGACUUUGGUGGAAGUCCUUGGUUACUUAUCAUUACUGUGUUUCUGAGAAGUUAUAAAUUUGCCAUCUCCCUCUGCACAACUUACCUUUGUGUGUCUUUCCUGAAGACUAUCUUCCCGUCUCAAAAUGGACAUGAUGGAUCCACGGAUGUACAGCAGAGAGCCAGGAGGUCCAACCGCCGUAGACAGGAAGGAAUUAAAAUUGUCCUGGAAGACAUCUUUACUUUAUGGAGACAGGUGGAAACCAAGGUUCGAGCUAAAAUCCGUAAGAUGAAGGUGACAACAAAAGUCAACCGUCAUGACAAAAUCAAUGGAAAGAAGAAGACCGCCAAAGAACAUCUGAGGAAACUAAGCAUGAAAGAACGUGAGCACGGAGAAAAGGAGAGGCAGGUGUCAGAGGCAGAGGAAAACGGGAAAUUGGAUAUGAAAGAAAUACACACCUACAUGGAAAUGUUUCAACGUGCGCAAGCGUUGCGGCGGCGGGCAGAGGACUACUACAGAUGCAAAAUCACCCCUUCUGCAAGAAAGCCUCUUUGCAACCGGUGCACUUACAAUUUGGUAUUACCUGGGAGUGAAAAGAAAUAUUACAGCCAUGCCUAACUGACUUCUUGAGGUCAGAAUGGCGGCAGCAGAGCAUCGUCAUUCUUCAGGAUUGCCCUGCUGGCCCUACCUCACAGCUGAAACUUUAAAAAACAGGAUGGGCCACCAGCCACCUCCUCCAACUCAACAACAUUCUAUAACUGAUAACUCCCUGAGCCUCAAGACACCUGCGGAGUGUCUGCUCUAUCCCCUUCCACCCUCAGCGGAUGAUAAUCUCAAGACACCUCCGAGUGUCUGCUCACUCCCCUUCCACCCUCAGCUCCACCCUCAGCGGAUGAUAAUCUCAAGACACCUCCCAAGUGUGUCUGCUCACUCCCCUUCCACCCUCAGUGGAUGAUAAUCUGAAGAAACUAACGAAGAAUAAAUAAAUAAUAUAAAAAU
rnacentral:misc_RNA from 1 species